rnacentral:tRNA from 1 species
GGGGAUUUAGCUCAGUGGUUCAGUGACUGUCUCACAAGCAGAAGGACCUGAGUUCAAUCCCCG